CACGUCUUCAGUAACAUCGCUGACAAUCCUGAUUCUCAUCACCUCUCUUUCACUGAGAGUACUGUGUGUGCAAAGUGCAUUUCUAGUUUUAGCUGGAAGUAGCUGUAAAUCUUUAAGCCAUUUAAUUGGAUUGAUUCAAAAUACUCUACUAAACUCUACCAUACAAGAUGCCAGUGUGUCAUAUGCUAAACACAGUGUGACAGACAGGUCAAAUCUCAAUGACUUAUAUCUCAGAAAUGUAAGUGUGUGUUGCAUAAACUUCAGGGACAGCAUCUUUUUCCAGCAUCUACCAUUCAAAACACUGUUGAAGAGAUACAGAGUAUAGGCACUGGGACAGACUUUAUAUACUUUAAAUAGAUUAAACUCGCUUCUUAGAGAGAUGAAUCUGUGACACAAAGCAGUCUGACUUGUUCUCAGCUUGCCACACAGGGCCCACGAGGGGCCGGUGAUGUUUCACCUUACGAUGGUAAGGUGUUUAUGACUGGUUUUAUACCAGGAUGCAGUCGAGGUUGUGAAGUCUUUGGGAUCUGCGAAAAAGAAGCACAAGGUUUUGGCUGUGUACUUCUCUCCACUCAACAUGCCCUGUCAAGUCUGAUCAAAUCCAGAAUAUAUGCAGCUGGUUUUGUUGUGUAGAGAGAGGGAGGAGUUUGGCCAAGCCAAGGAUUUUUCCGAACUGCCGGCUGACUUGAAACUACUAAGAGAGAAUGGGAUAACCUUGGCAGAUGAAUCUGAAAGGAGCACUGUACUGCAUUGCUGGAGACAACUUGGGGUCUCACCGCAUUGGUGGUUUUACAGAAAAUUUUGAACAGGCACAUCAAACAGUUCAAAUACAAAGCAACAGAUGCUUGUUUCCAAACCUUGUGCUGCCACUUUUGCCACUUUGCUGAAGACGUUCAGAUGGAGAGUGUGCCAGCAAACCCCUGCCUUAUUGUGUGUGGGUCCUCCUGCUCUGCUGCUGAGAUCUUCAUGUUGAGCAUUGACCAAAAGGUCGUCAGUGACCGCAUCACUUCCGCCAUCUGCCAACAUACAGUACCCAGGGGAAUUGCAGUCAACACUGCAGUUCCUCCAGUGGAAAAAAUUGUAGAGAGAUUCCAGCAGCCGCCAGCAGAGGGCAGCAGCUGAACAGCUGAGAUGAGGUGAAACCUCUCACCACAUCUUUUUCAUCGCCCUCCUGUGCUGCUCUGUGCAUCCGCCCCUUUCUCUGUAUCUGGUGCACUAUAUUGCCAAAAGUAUGUGGACACAACCUACUUCGGUAUACUUUCUUUCAGGGGGAAUCUUAAUGUUAUAACUAAGAUAAUUAGGAUAAAUAAGAUAAGAUAAGCCUUUGCUGAUCCUCGGAGGAGAAAUUCAGCUGUUGCAACAAGGACAGAUUAUUGUGUAAAUAAUAUAAAAAAAAGUAAGAAAUAAAUAUAAGAAUUAAAUAGAAUUACAAGGCAUGCAACAUCAUGCACUACCCAUGGGUGGUGUUGCAAACCAACAGUGCAGUACUGUCUCAAAUUAGCUGACAGUGUAGUAAAGUAAGUAAAGUACAUGUAAAGAUAACAUUAUACCAUCUAUUAUAACAGCAUACACCAGACAUCAACAUAACAUGAGAACUUGCAGUGUACGUAUUGUGUCUUCCCCCUCUCCGCUGUCUCUGUCCUGUAAAUCCACUGCAGCAGCAUUCUUAGCGACUGGCUGAUUGUGAUGUUGGUGAUCUGGAAAACCAACCUUGUUCUUUUAUUAAGCUCUUUGUAGCUCGCACUGAAUAAACAGUCUGGCCGAGAAAGGAUUACACUAAGUGGGGCGAGAAAUUUGAGUUCACAAACAAGUCGUCAACAUCCAUAUAGUCAGCCGUCUGUCAGAAUAUAUAAUAUAACCAUCCUGCAAACUGACCCAUUUCAUCCUGUCUGAUCUAUUGAAUAUGUCAUCACUGAUGGUACUCAGAUAUACACACCCUCUGUCUGGUUUAAAUGUCUCAUCGCAUCUAUGUAUACUCAUCUAGGUUAUAUGGAAAAGUCCAUGUACGGUAUUAAAACUAAAUGCUGUAAUUUGGUGUUUUACACCAUAGGGGGAGCUGCAGUACAUAAUACAGGACACAUAAUGCUGUUAUAUUACACAGUUUCAUCCCGUGCAGGUCUGUGGUGUUGGCUAUGGGAGCUGGAGUACUACUGCGUGUGUGAAAAAGGUGUACAGCCUGUAUGACCUUGUGUGGCUCCGAAGGGGUGUCGGCAUCAAAAGAAGUGAGCUAACCAGAGACAUACAACAGAAAAAGUACGUUUUACACAUGCUGUGUGUAUUAUUGGAAACUUUAGGUGUAUUAACAUCAUGAAACAACAGGAAUGUUUGUACUUAUGGGUAUUAGUUUUAUAAACUUCUAUGAAUAUGGCGCCACUUAUCUGGUGGAGUGAUACUCAAACAGAAAUCAGAUCUACAUGUCCCUAACCCUAACUUUAACCUAAACCUGAUUCUACCCUUAACCCUCAGCCAACAGCCCUUUAAAGACGCGAUGAGUAGACAAAAUGUCCUCUCUCUCAAGGUCUAAACUCUAACUGGUCCUCACAGCGGCAGAAGUGCAGCAGCACACGUUUACGCCUCAGUGUUGUAAACUGAAUGACCUGGUUAGAAAUUGUCAUGUGAGGGACCUGAUGAUAGCCUUUCACCCUCCCACCCCUCUGGUGCAGGUCAGGUUUUACACUCCUCCAGGUAAACAGUGUUUUGGUCAUGUGAGCACGACUGACACGGUUUUAAAAACAGAGCAGUUAGAAUUUACUUCGACACUAAAACGUCUCUAAAAGUCUCCUGACUGUUGACUGACUGAGUGCUAUUGUUUGGUCAGUGUGAUGAAUUAGUUUGGCUCAGUCCAUCCUGAACCAUUCGACAAAAGAUGUUUGGUUUUUAUUGUGUUUACAAGAAAGAUCCACUGGGGACCAAUUUACACCAGAAACACAAUGUAUGGAUUAUUUAUAGAUAAAAUAUGAUUCAAAAUGACUCACCACGUAUUUAUUUAAUAUUUGAUUUGAUUUGAACGCUUCUUCAAAUCAUGCCAUGUAUUUGUGUUGUAAUGAAAAUGUACAUAGAUUUUCAGUGUUGCGAACUUAAUUUUCUUAUUUUGCUAUAUUUACUAUUUUAGGUAGUUCUCUGCAUUUCAGACUGUUUCUUAUACGGCGGUAUGCACUGUUUUUCUUUAGGCUGUCCUUGGAUGGCUACUGCUCAGCUAAUGCUGGACUGAACUGAAUCACAGUGGGUGAUGAACAGUGGUUUAAUGCUGCCUAAACUGGUUAAAUGUGGCUAAGUGUGAAUGAAGUGUCUUAAACCUCAUCUGGAUAUUAAAGUCCAUGAGUGUCAGCGUGUGACAGGGACACCAGAAUCGCUCAAAUGUGUAUUGAUGUCUUUGCGUUUUAGAUGAUUCAGCAGCUGUCAAAUCUAAUCAGAGUCUCCUUUAAUGCAU